GUGAAGCCCACCUCAAGAUGAGAUUUCCCAUAGCAUAAGCUAGUAAGACCCCUUGAAGACUACAAGGUUGAUAGGUCAGAGGUGUAAGUGCGGUAACGUAUUUAGCUGACUGAUACUAAUAGGUCGAUGGCUUGACCAA
rnacentral:rRNA from 1 species